rnacentral:rRNA from 1 species
UACGUAGGGCGCAAGCGUUGUCCGGAAUUAUUGGGCGUAAAGAGCUCGUAGGCGGUCUGUCGCGUCCGUUGUGAAAACUCGAGGCUCAACCUCGGGCUUGCAGUGGAUACGGGCAGACUAGAGUGCGGUAGGGGAGACUGGAAUUCCUGGUGUAGCGGUGAAAUGCGCAGAUAUCAGGAGGAACACCGGUGGCGAAGGCGGGUCUCUGGGCAGUAACUGACGCUGAGGCGCGAAAGCUAGGGGAGCAAACAGG